UACGGAGGGAGCUAGCGUUGUUCGGAAUUACUGGGCGUAAAGCGCACGUAGGCGGCUUUGUAAGUUAGAGGUGAAAGCCCGGGGCUCAACUCCGGAACUGCCUUUAAGACUGCAUCGCUUGAAUCCAGGAGAGGUGAGUGGAAUUCCGAGUGUAGCGGUGAAAUGCGUAGAUAUCUGGAGGAACACCGGUGGCGAAGGCGGCAUCCUGGACCGACACUGACGCUGAGGCGCGAAAGCGUGGGGAGCAAACAGG
rnacentral:rRNA from 1 species